CGCGUAGGCGGUCUUGUAAGUCAGAUGUGAAAGCCCGGGGCUCAACCCCGGAAGGGCAUUUGAUACUGCGAGACUUGAGUAUGGGAGGGGGAAGUGGAAUUCCUGGUGUAGAGGUGAAAUUCGUAGAUAUCAGGAGGAACACCAGUGGCGAAGGCGACUUCCUGGACCAAUACUGACGCUGAUGCGCGAAGGCGUGGGGAGCAAACA
rnacentral:rRNA from 1 species